rnacentral:tRNA from 1 species
AGAUAAGUAAGCUAAGUUUAAAGCUAUUGGGCUCAUAUUUCAAUUAUAGAAUGAAGUUAUUCUCUUAUCUG